AACGCACAUUGCGCCCGCCGGUAUUCCGGCGGGCAUGCCUGUCCGAGCGUCAUUUCAACCCUCGCGCCCCGCGCGGUGAUGGGGCCCCGCGGCUGCCGCGGGCCCUGAAAAACAGUGGCGGCCGCACCGGUGCCCGCAGCGCAGUAGCAAUCCUCGCUCGCGGAGCCCGGGGCGUGCCGGCCGUGAAACGCCACCCAAGGUUGACCUCGGAUCAGGCAGGAAUACCCGCUGAACUUAA
rnacentral:misc_RNA from 1 species